rnacentral:rRNA from 1 species
AACGAACGCUGGCGGCAGGCUUAACACAUGCAAGUCGAACGGGAAGCCAGACUUCGGUUUGGUGGAGAGUGGCGCACGGGUGAGUAACGCGUGGGAAUUUACCUAGCGGUACGGAAUAACCCCGGGAAACCGUGGCUAAUACCGUAUAUUACCCUUCGGGGGAAAGAUUUAUCGCCGUUAGAUGAGCCCGCGUCGGAUUAGCUUGUUGGUAGGGUAAAGGCCUACCAAGGCAACGAUCCGUAGCUGGUCUGAGAGGAUGAUCAGCCACACUGGGACUGAGACACGGCCCAG